AGCCUUUUAUAAAGCCGUUUCUUUCAUUAUAACAGGUCCUUUCAUCCAAAUGACACAGAACAUUUAAAUUUGGGCAUAAUACUCCAGUACAGUACACAGCUAUAGCUUCAAAUGGAUUUAGAACCUGCUCCAGAAAGAAAACAAACUCCCUCGCUUGACACACAAAUUGUUUACGAUUCAUUAAAAAGCAAAAUUGCAUAUCCCAGUGCUGGCAGCUGAGUCCAUAUGGGUGCAAGGGGUAUUCACUCAUCUCUUUGUAUGCUGGCAGUACCAAACCGAAGUUUAGCACUGUGCAGCUGAGAUUUUGUGCAGCCAGACGAUGCAUGAGAUUCAAGAUGUCAAAGGUUGUCUGGCCCGGCUGACCAUGACAUGCUAGUUAACUCGUUCUACGGAGCACGUUGGGACUUUAUUGAAACUUUAAUUGCGCCCAAAAGCAGCUAGAGCCAGACUAUGUGGGAUCUGUAACACAUGGCUCCAGGUCAGCACAGCCCGGGAACCUGUUCUAACGCAAACAAGCGGAGGGAAAAGUUAGAUCGGGGUCUCGGCUGAAAGGCAGCACCUCGCAAACCGCGCUCCUCUCACACGUGAUGAUUUUACACCACGCCACGACUGCACCGUCCCAGGCUUUUACAGUGAGCGACUCGCUGGGUAACGGACUGAACUUUCCACCUCCCCUCUACAAAAUAUUGCAUGGUAAAAAAUGCACGCGCACACGGACGCUGGAAAGCAGCAGAUAAAGUAAAACAAACUGAGCGCUAGGCAGCCGACUGAGACAAGUUACUCUGCACAACAAGGCUUUUUCAAACUACUUCUUUGCACACUUUUUUUUUUUUUUUCCCUUAAGGAGAAUUGAAAAAGCUUCCCUCUGGAAACUGUAGUGCACAUUAACGAUCUCCUGUUACACAGGGGAAAGCACACAAGUGGGGCAAGUGUGAGGCUGCUCUACUGAAGAGUGUGAAAAAAAUCAAAUGUUAAUUUGAUAAAUGUGAGGUCUGGGACAUUUUGUCAAAGAGGGAGGGAAAGUAGAAAAGGGAGAAAAAAAAAAGCAGCCCUGCUGCCAACUCACCAUCCACCAAGUUCUGGCCGAGAUGUCGUAGCAGAGCUGCCAUUUGAUGGAGCCGUCGGAGGUUUUCCCUGCCAUUAUGCUGUCAGCAAGCUUCAUCUGAUGCUAACUCACGGGAGAUAAGACACCUAAUUGAGAAAACAUUUGCACUGGCAUGUUGGGCAACAUGUAGCCCGGUCCAUACCAUAUGGAAUCAUGGGUAAAAAAAAAAAAUCUCCUUGACAAUGAACCAAUCUCUCACAGACCCAGUGGCAAGGUGAAGUGGAGAUGAAAAGUCAUCUGCUCCUAGCACUGUCUUCUCCUCUCUCUCUCUCUCCCUCUCUCUCCCCCUCUCUCACUCACUCUUUUUUUUUUAAAUAAGAACCCACUGCUCAACAUCAAAGAGAGGCGGUCAAAAUUAGGGCUUCAUCACUCAGAUGAUUUUGGUCUGCAAGGUUUUUCUUUCCUUUCCUCUUUUUCUUUUUUAAGAAGAAUAAAGAGAUUUAAUAGGACAAAGGCAGGUAGUGGACUGUGGAGGGAGAUCGCCACAGGCUAUUAGCCUAAAAUUUCUGCUUGACAGAUGGAACUGCUUAGAGACUAUCAUGCAAUGUUUUGGGUGGGUUUUUUUUGUUUUUUUUUAAAGACUUUCAGUCUGAUUCACUAUCUGUUUAUCGCAGCUACUUUUCUCAUGUACGUGACCGGGAGGGGGAAAAAAAGACUGAGAAAAAAAAGAAAAAGAUAGCGUCUUUCUUUCUUUAUUUCAUAAUUGUGUGUAUAAUCAUUUAAGCAGUGAAAGGCACAACAAAAGUAUAAACUGCUCCAGUUAAUUUCUCAACCCAGUGACAGAUGCUUUCUGAAGGAAUCAAAUGCUCUUCCAUUUUUUUGAGAUGUUAAAGUUUUAGAUCUUUGUUCCUUCUUGAUUUUAGAUAUCAGAUCAUAUUGUAUAAAUGAAUGACUUUUCAUAUGAAGGUUCAAAGUGCCACCUAAGAACUGAAGAAUUCCCUUUAUAUAUAUAUAUUUUUCUUAAUAUAAUUUUGUUACCAUAUUUUUUAAAUCUGGUUUUUAAUGUUACACUUUCUAAUACCAUCGGGUGACAACCACCAAACUCACAGAGGUUUGUUUUUUCCUCAUGCAAAACUUCUCUGCAACACUCAAAAUUUACAUGAGGAAUUGACAGACAACUUGGGAAAAGACAACUCCAAAACAAAAAAUUUUGAAAAGUUAUGAAAUUCUGCUGCCUAAUAUUAAAAUCCAUUUCCUGGAUAGCAAAGUCAAAGAUAAUAAUAGAUUUUUCCCAAUUUUCCACUUCUUCUGGAGCACUGUAAGCCCAACAGAAGCAUUACUUUUAUGACAGCUGACUAUUAAGCAGGCAGUGAAUGCUUUCCAUUUAAAUCACCCUGCUGUGUCACACGGAGUGACGGUUGCUGGGCUGUGACUACCACCCCUCACUGACAGGGCACUCCAGCCUAUACAGUUGUGCCUUUCCUCAAGUGCUCGGAAAAAUGAACUUCUGAACUGGCAAACGGACUCUUGCCAGGAAUAUUUCUUAGGGCUGUGGAGCUAUGGCUAAUACAACUUGCUCACUCAGAAACAGCUACACUCUGCAAAUCUUUUUGUGAUUUGGAUGCCAGAGGAAAAUGUAUUAAAACCAUCCACUUGAUUUUAAACAAUAUCCUUCUCUGUUGGUAUCAAAAAAGGGAGCUUGUGGGCAUACAAUUCUUCCUUGGAUGUUUUGUGUACUAACUGUUGUUUAACUAUUUGGCUACAGCAAAAUGAUCAUUCUGGGCUGCACAGAUUACAGAACUGCCAUUCAGUGCAGGACAGGACUAACUUUCAUUGAGCUUCAAUAAUACCUUCACAUUUCCGUGAUGUGCGAGAUGAUAAGCAAAUGAUUUAGGGUAGGUACAAACUGCUAAUGUAACAUGUAGGGACUAGGGGUUUGGGUUUAUUUUCCCCAGCCUUUCAAUUUGUUUGGACUACAUGAAAAAUACAUUAAUGAAUGAUCUCUGCAACUACUCAGCAUACCAGUUUGCACUUUAAACUUCAGGUAGCAGGUAUAAUCUCACUGCAGUUUACAGGAAAGGGUCUGACUAGCAUGGGAAGUGUUAAGUUUUAUUUCGAGUCCAGGAAAAAAAAGAUGGACACUGUGCCAGGAACUGUCUUUGCUCUGGCUAGGCAAAGCGUUCGUCAUCUUCUGUUACUGCAGGUUUGUUACCUGUCCUUUCAGUGCGUCGCUGCUUAUUGAAAAAAACUUCCCUCCAAAUAAUCCCACAAAAUAUAAAGCAAAAUGCUCAGUAGCAAUCAGCCCUUGAAUCAGUGUCAGAUUCAAUUUUAUGCUGCUCUCCUGCUCCUACCUCUCAAACCCAUCAACAUACCCACCCGGCUUAUUAUUUAUUUAGUAUUUCAUACCCAGUUGUGCUGCACAUCAUUCCAGACAAGUUCUGAUAAAUCUCUAUUCUAUAUGGCCUUUCAGCACCUGGUGUAGUUAUAGAGCUCCUGACAAACUUUCUCUGCACUGCUCUAUUAAACACUUCUUCCUAUAACAAUAUGUGACUCUACCUCCCAGUAUUAAUUAUAAACACACCAACUAAAUAUUUCUUUACAUCAUACACUUUUCAGAUUAUGAAUGACAGAAGCAUGAAACCAUUUCCUUCCUGACAGUGGAGUGGUUAUGUGCAAAGAAAGGAGGAGUGCUGUUGGUUAACAGCAUUUUAAAUUCAGAACAAUUAGGUGCAGUUAACGUUGCCAUUGUUCUUUCUGAUGCUGGGGAUGGUGGGUUCUUACCCGUAGAGCAAUUACUCCUUUUAUAAGCGGCUGUUGUUAAUAGCAUUAAAACAAGAUUAAAUACAACAUGUUAAAUAUUGCAAUUAUUGUGGAAAAUAAAAUUAUUUGGUGAGCAUAAUGGGGAGCAAAUCAAGCAUUUAACAUGAUCCAGGAAAUGCUACUCCAAACAAUUGCAUUUGUUUUAUGCAAUUUUUCCCCUUUGAUUGCUGACAGAUGCCGUUUUGGAAACAAACAUCUAAGUAGUUUUCCUUCAAUCAGGAAAAAAACCACACACCAGAAAAUGGCUACAUGUUUUGAAUUUAACUCUUGUCAAUCAGCAUUCUGCACAGCACUCCCUGUGAAUAGUACUGGGACAAAACGAUGCCUUCCAAAGACUAAUAAGCCACAAAGAUGUUUGCUUCUAAAUCAGAUCUGUUCUGAAGAAAGGAAAAGCCUUCGUGCAUCAUCGACAUUUGUGCAGACACAGCUGCAAAAUAAAAAUGCUUGCAAUACAGGAGUGAUAUUUCACGUUGGAAAUAAGUUAGGUGUGUAUGGUUGCGGGCUACAGGAGAAGAGAUUUGUUUUCUGACAGCUGCAGGCCUCAAGCAAUGGAUUGAAGUACUUGCCAGUUUCUUUCUGACUUCCUGCUGGAGAAGUGGCCAACUACCCAAAAAUAAUUGGCUUAAUUGUUGAGCAGAGUUACCUGCAACAGUUCAAACAGUGCGAGUGGGCCCCUCUACCUCCCCUCAGCAGCACACUUGGAUGGGGAUACUGUGUAUGGAACCAGGAACGAAUGCUAAAAAAGGCUAAUAAAGUAUAUUAAUUCAGAUGACUGUAUCAAGCUGGCAUUUUACAGUCUACUGGAAACCGAAUGCAUGAGAGCAUUAGAAAUGUUGGCAUAGCGGGUGGUUUCUCCAAAUGUUGGCUUCUGCUAUUCACAUUGGUAAAAGAAAUGUGGUAGAACUGUGUGCAGCUCCCAGCACCAGACACAUCUUUAGGAUCUUAGUCCUCAUUACUAGAUUAUCUAUUAAUUGCACAGCACCCAUUGCUCAUUAACCCUCUCUUUAUCACCUUUGCCUCCCCCUUUUUCUCCAGCUGCAAUUGCUCAGAACCUUUUCAGCCGAUUGCACCAGUGUGAUUUUAGAUCUGUUCCUAAUCUGGAAGGCAUUUUCCUUGGGAAGCCUGAACUUAGAUGAGCUACGAAGAGGAUUUCCUUAUCUCGAACAGUGACAAUUAGUUCAAGCGCCACGUGAGAGCCGGCAGUUGAUUUUUGGACAGCCUCUGAACUGAUGCAAAGUUGCUGACAACGAGUGUGUUCUAGCUUUUGGAAAUCCUAUAAUCCUGGCUUCAAUCAAGAGGAUCUGCUGUUGCUGAAGGCGUAAACAAGGAGAGAAGCAGCAUGUGACCACGGCUGCUGCACCUUCAAGGACUCCCGAGCCAAAACGAGCGCAAUGGUAAAGCUUCUACUGGUUGCUCUACGUUACACAUAUAUUUCAGAUGAUUUUCCUGAACCCAGGGAAAAUAGUUCUUUCCCCUCUGCAGGAAAAGUUGUUUUUGGACUCUGCAUUUCCCCCUGUAGCUCUGUUGUGUGUGUUUCUCCCCACUCCCUUCUCACUCCUCUGAUUUUCUUCCUACCAUCUGUAUUCCCCUUUUGCCUCAUCUGAAACAAGCAUCAAGAUCUUGUUUCUGACAGAACGGUCUGUCAAUAUGGAAACACACUGACAUCACAGACAGUGCUGUGACUUCAUGUCUGAAAGAAACAGGAGGAACAGAUGAAAGGAGUGAAGGAAAAGGAAUGACACAUACAAACAUUUUUAAAAAAUAAGUAAAAAUUCUUCUCUAUCAAUCCAAAAAGCAAAGGAACAUAAACCAGAUUUAUUUUUAAGUCUAAAUAUAACCCACUAUUUCCUAAUCUGUGACCAUAACUCAGUACAACAUUUCAACAUGCUCUUCACCUGAGAGAGGUCCCUGACUCCCAGGAGCAUGUGCUUGGCUGGCUCAAGGCCCAUGUGAUAGGCAACAUGACCUCGAGAAGGACUGAACAGGGACUAAACUGGAAAAAGCUAAUAUCAAGCAUAUACUGGAAGAAAUCUUUAGAGAUAAGAGAGGAAUCCUGCCCUGGACUAAUCUAUACCAUCUAAGUAAAUGCAAAUUCACAGAAUUAUAAAUAAAAGCAUUUAUCAAAAUUACAAACUCUAUUUGGAUGCAGCUGGAUUAAAGGUAUCACUGCCCACUGGGGUGGGGAUACAGGACAUACCCAGAAAACACUGAGCACGCAGGGGUGGAAUAUCACCUGAUUAUUACUAUUUUUUUUCUUCCUGGUAUGAAAUAUUAACAAAAAUAUCUAACCAAUAUUUCUAUUACUAGCAGGUUUUUUUGCAUAAGAAUUUAGGAGGAGUUAGAACCCCACAUUUCCCUUACUAUUUGAAAUACGUGUUUACUAUUUGAAGUAUAUAUUUGGGCUCCAACAUUAGAGGGCAUCCAGAAGAUAUUGCUUUCCUGCCAUCUCCAGAGCCACUACAAACCUCUAAUAAGGAGAUUCAUAACUAGUAGGAAAGGAGCUCAAGAAAACUAAAAGGUUAAUAUAUUCUAACUAGAUGUUGGGUAUAGAAUGUCAGAUCUGUCAAAUUUCAUUACAGUUUGCUGCUCAAUGAAAAAGAUUUGAUUUCUUUUGCCACUGUCCUACUAUGUUCAAGUCACACAGUGCCAGCAGCAACCAGCCAACGACCACAGGCUGGCACUGAGCGGGCCCGAGUGGGAAGCCAGCCGCAAGGACCAUCUGUUUCCGAUUUCUAGCGAAGCCAAGAUGUGCAGUGAAGUGCAUUCCAUUCACCCAGCCAGCCUUCUCCCUGCUCAAGUUAUUAGUGUUACAAGUGAAAUUAUCUUUUCCAAACAGCGGGGGAGCUAUAAUCCUUAUGGAACAAGGCUUUAAAAAAAGGGAAAAAAAGAGAAGGGGGGAAAAAAAGAAAAAAGGACAGGAAAAAGGUCCCCCAACACUCCCCCCCUUCAAACAUCUUUUGUCAAAGUUGUCGAUGACAGUGUUUGUGAAUUCAAUUGCCAUGUUCACGGGUUUUAUAAUUUUAAAGGAUGUUCUAUUAAGAACUAUAUUCUCUAUGGGAAGAAUGUGUACAUCGGUUCAUGGGCUCUAAUGUAAUAAACCAUUCAAAUAUAUUUAGAGGGUUAUUUAUGAAUAAAGUUAAAAAUGACAA